GUUUAUGUAGCCGCAUUAAUAACAAUUAAUCAUUAGAGCCAGUAAUGGAGGUGCGACAAGGCGAUAUACUUGGGCCGUUUUCUUUCCUAGUUUAUAACGUUCGAGUAAAUGACUCUAUCAAACAUGUUGAAAUGGAUAUUUAAGCACACUUGGCGACGUGUAAAAUAUUGUUAUCGAUAAUGGAAGCAGAAUUCCAAGCGACGACUAUAUACAAGAAUCGCAUCACGUAUUAAGAAAUUCGAGAACACCAUGUUAAGAAAUCUCGGUGGAAAUAAAACAAGAAAGCCUUCACGAAUAAAUUAUGGCAAUGUAAAGUAUGAUAAAUGAUGUAAAGCUUGUAAUGGAACAGCUCGGAGCUUACAAUUGAUAACAUAGCGGCAAUAGAUGUACAUCAUCACUGAAAAUUUCAUCUGUCCAUCUAUCACGGU